UGCAGUCGAGCGAAUCAUCAAAAGCUUGCUUUUGAUGAUUAGCGGCGGACGGGUGAGUAACACGUGGGCAACCUGCCUGUAAGACUGGGAUAACUUCGGGAAACCGGAGCUAAUACCGGAUAAUGCUUUUCCUCACAUGAGGGAAAGCUGAAAGAUGGCUUCGGCUAUCACUUACAGAUGGGCCCGCGGCGCAUUAGCUAGUUGGUGAGGUAACGGCUCACCAAGGCGACGAUGCGUAGCCGACCUGAGAGGGUGAUCGGCCACACUGGGACUGAGACACGGCCCAGACUCCUACGGGAGGCAGCAGUAGGGAAUCUUCCGCAAUGGACGAAAGUCUGACGGAGCAACGCCGCGUGAGUGAUGAAGGUUUUCGGAUCGUAAAACUCUGUUGUUAGGGAAGAACAAGUACCGUUCGAAUAGGGCGGCACCUUGACGGUACCUAACCAGAAAGCCACGGCUAACUACGUGCCAGCAGCCGCGGUAAUACGUAGGUGGCAAGCGUUGUCCGGAAUUAUUGGGCGUAAAGCGCGCGCAGGCGGUUCCUUAAGUCUGAUGUGAAAGCCCACGGCUCAACCGUGGAGGGUCAUUGGAAACUGGGGAACUUGAGUGCAGAAGAGAAGAGCGGAAUUCCACGUGUAGCGGUGAAAUGCGUAGAGAUGUGGAGGAACACCAGUGGCGAAGGCGGCUCUUUGGUCUGUAACUGACGCUGAGGCGCGAAAGCGUGGGGAGCAAACAGGAUUAGAUACCCUGGUAGUCCACGCCGUAAACGAUGAGUGCUAAGUGUUAGAGGGUUUCCGCCCUUUAGUGCUGCAGCAAACGCAUUAAGCACUCCGCCUGGGGGAGUACGGCCGCAAGGCUGAAACUCAAAGGAAUUGACGGGGGCCCGCACAAGCGGUGGAAGCAUGUGGUUUAAUUCGAAGCAACGCGAAGAACCUUACCAGGUCUUGACAUCUCCUGCCACCCUAGAAGAUAGGGCGUUCCCCUUCGGGGGACAGGAUGACAGGUGGGUGCAUGGUUGUCGUC
rnacentral:rRNA from 2 species